UUAAUUUCCAUGGAUAUGGAUCUGAAAAACCCCUAACUAAAUAAAGAUUGCAGGCCUGCUCUCCUGAUUAGACCUGGCUAAGUCAAGGGAGCGAUGCUUUGUAAAUGGUUAAAAUGAGCUGCAGGAUAUCUCUCUAGUAUAGACAUUCCACUGGCAAGCUGUGGAAGUUGCUUUUAAUCUGGGAGGCUGUACCAUGAGGACCGCAGGCACUGAGGCAAUGCAAGGUCGUAACAGGUUUGAAUGCAUGGUCUAAUCCAAUUAGACAAAUCUAUGAGAUGAGCUUUCCUCUCCUUCAGACUUAUUUCUAUAAAUUAUAAUCUACGGCAACUAUGAACAGGUAUAAUUCUAUGCUGAUAGCAACUCAAAACAGUUUUCAUGUUUGUUUUAUUGUUUUGGCAAACGUAUUAAUGAAAUGGAUAUUAGUAUUUAUAACAAUUCAUAUGUAUUCCACUCUCCAUACAAAAGGUAAAAUAUAGUGGGCCUGGUCCAAGGGACUUCAUGGGAGCUGGCUAAAACAACUGCACCUGGAUGAUUGGUGGAUUCUAAUCCUAUGAACCAUCUAGGAGCUAUGCUCCAAGGUGGAGGACCCUAGGUUGGGGUGAUGCAUAUGCCCUGCAACCUGGGAAAGGAGAUAAGGGACAAUUGGAAGCUUCAACGCUUGUUGGACACACAGGUGAAACAGGUCCACCUCUGGAAGUUUCCAUCUUUGGAAUAUCCUGUGAAGAAUUUGAGAGUUGAACUCCCAUUCGGAGUCCUAGAAGAAGCACCUGCUGCACAUGUCGGCUGUGACAUUCUGGACUCCAAGAAGCUGGAGAUUCAAUUCCUGGAAAAGAGAGGGCCAUCUGGGUGGAAUUCAGUACUGUUUGGUUAGAUCAGCCCUUAAGUAAUCAGUCUUCAAGAUAUGGGAAGACUAAAAUCGCUUCUCAAUGAAGCAGUCUAUAUAUCCAGAGGUCUUGGCCCUGAAGACCUUUAGUGUGUGCAGAGACUCAUCCGUGGUCUUGGACAAGAGCUUUCAACCAUCAAAUGGGAGGUCCUCAACAGUGUUCUGAACCUCUCUCAGGAACCCUGAGAGUUGGAGCCAUGAUGCCCUGCACAUAAGAGAUGAAUCCGGUGGCAGUGUCCAAGACAUCCAAGGACGCUUGAAGAGAGGUUCUGGCUAAUAAUUGACUGUCUACAAUGAUGGCCUGAAAUUAUUCCCUAUGCUCCUGUGGAAGAUGCUUAA